AUUGAACGCUGGCGGCAUGCCUUACACAUGCAAGUCGAACGGCAGCGCGGGAGCAAUCCUGGUGGCGAGUGGCGAACGGGUGAGUAAAGUAUCGGAACGUACCUUUCAGUGGGGGAUAACGUAGCGAAAGUUACGCUAAUACCGCAUAUUCUGCGAGCAGGAAAGCAGGGGAUCGCAAGACCUUGCGCUGAUUGAGCGGCCGAUAUCAGAUUAGCUAGUUGGUGGGGUAAAGGCCUACCAAGGCGACGAUCUGUAGCGGGUCUGAGAGGAUGAUCCGCCACACUGGAACUGAGACACGGUCCAGACUCCUACGGGAGGCAGCAGUGGGGAAUUUUGGACAAUGGGGGCAACCCUGAUCCAGCCAUGCCGCGUGAGUGAUGAAGGCCU
rnacentral:rRNA from 1 species